UACGUAGGGGGCUAGCGUUGUCCGGAUUUAUUGGGCGUAAAGAGCGUGUAGGCGGCCAGGUAGGUCUGCUGUGAAAACUCGAGGCUCAACCUCGAGACGUCGGCGGAAACCAUCUGGCUAGAGUCCGGAAGAGGAGAGUGGAAUUCCUGGUGUAGCGGUGAAAUGCGCAGAUAUCUGGAGGAACACCGGUGGCGAAGGCGGCAUCCUGGACCGACACUGACGCUGAGGAGCGAAAGCCAGGGGAGCAAACGGG
rnacentral:rRNA from 1 species